CAAAGGUAUUUUUUAAACUGGACUAAUUCUCAUAUGGACUUUUAUUAUUGCUUGUGUUGGAUGGUUUUAGUUCAGGCUAUUAUGAGUUUAACCCUGAUGUACAAAGGAAUCCAGAGGAUAUCGUUUUAACAGAAAACCUUUUAGGGCAUUGACUGAACCUGCUCUCUUUCCUCAUAUAAAGGUUGGAGGAAAGAGUCUCCAAGGUGACACAGCUUGGUGUCAAUAGGAGAAGGUCGCACGGCUUUAGAAGGCUCCAUGGUUUCAGGGACCAAGGAAAAAAGCCUCCCAGCAUCAUCUGCACUCAAUCAGAAUAAUUAUCCCGAGAAAUGCACGGCAGAGCCCGUGAGAGGUGAGGGGAAUGAAGUACAGAGGCUAUUGGCAAUCACCUCUCUCCAGUCAUUAUUAGUCAUCGCUCGGCUGCGCUGGAAGAGGACCCAGACGGCUUGGGAGGAAGCCACGAGCAGCUGACAGACAGACGGACAGACGGACGGACGCACAGAGAAAAGGCCUGAUGUGACUCCAGUGCCCAGAAAGUCUCAGCAAUCUGUGAAGGCUCUGGCAGCACAGCGGCUCCUCUGUGGACUGGCACGCAUCCGCACACGUGUAUCAGCCUUUCCCCUCAGCCACAGACUGCCGAAGCAUUGGUCUCGUCACUCUCUAGAUGUGGAAGCUUUAAAAACACUCCAAGCACCCAGAAAACACCUUUUUGUUUCCUCCUUAUAAAAACAAAUCCUCCAGGAGGAUGGUGCGUUUGGGGUCCUGUCAGGAUUUGUGAAUACUCCAUAAAGGAGUUUUAGUGGAACAUUGUGGGGUUCCUGUAGCUCACAAUAAAACAAUCCUCAAAGCCCUCUAACUUUUUAAA
rnacentral:lncRNA from 1 species